GAUGAACGCUGGCGGCGUGCCUAAUACAUGCAAGUCGAGCGAACAGACGAGGAGCUUGCUCCUCUGACGUUAGCGGCGGACGGGUGAGUAAAACGUGGAUAACCUACCUAUAAGACUGGGAUAACUUAGGGAAACCGGAGCUAAUACCGGAUAAUAUAUUGAACCGCAUGGUUCAAUAGUGAAAGACGGUUUUGCUGUCACUUAUAGAUGGAUCCGCGCCGCAUUAGCUAGUUGGUAAGGUAACGGCUUACCAAGGCGACGAUGCGUAGCCGACCUGAGAGGAUGAUCGGCCACACUGGAACUGAGACACGGUCCAGACUCCUACGGGAGGCAGCAGUAGGGAAUCUUCCGCAAUGGGCGAAAGCCUGACGGAGCAACGCCGCGUGAGUGAUGAAGGUCUUCGGAUCGUAAAACUCUGUUAGUAGGGAAGAACAAAUGUGUAAGUAACUAUGCACGUCUUGACGGUACCUAAUCAGAAAGCCCCGGCUAACUACGUG
rnacentral:rRNA from 1 species